AGCAGUAGCCGCGGUAAUACGUAGGGUGCAAGCGUUAAUCGGAAUUACUGGGCGUAAAGCGUGCGCAGGCGGUUAUAUAAGACAGAUGUGAAAUCCCCGGGCUCAACCUGGGAACUGCAUUUGUGACUGUAUAGCUAGAGUACGGCAGAGGGGGAUGGAAUUCCGCGUGUAGCAGUGAAAUGCGUAGAUAUGCGGAGGAACACCGAUGGCGAAGGCAAUCCCCUGGGCCUGUACUGACGCUCAUGCACGAAAGCGUGGGGAGCAAACAGGAUUAGAGACCCCAGUAGUCCCUGUCUCUUAUAC
rnacentral:rRNA from 1 species